rnacentral:rRNA from 1 species
GGGCCCGCACAAGCGGUGGAGCAUGUGGUUUAAUUCGAUGAUACGCGAGGAACCUUACCAGGACUUAAAUGUAAGUUGCAUGAUUCAGAAAUGAAUCUUUCUUCGGACUACUUACAAGGUGCUGCAUGGUUGUCGUCAGCUCGUGCCGUGAGGUGUCAGGUUAAGUCCUAUAACGAGCGCAACCCCUAUCGUUAGUUGCCAUCAAGUAAAGUUGGGAACUCUAGCGAAACUGCCGGUGCAAACCGUGAGGAAGGUGGGGAUGACGUCAAAUCAUCACGGCCCUUACGUUCUGGGGCUACACACGUGCUACAAUGGCCGGUACAGAAAGCAGCCACUACGCGAGUAGGAG